CCUUAAAGAAAUCAUUCAUUUUUACCAUUAAAAAACUAGUAUGGCUGAUAAAAUAACCACAGUUACACAUGUCAUGCCAUGUGUAUCUUAUUUUGACAUAUAGGAACCAAUUUUGAACUGUAGAAAUAGAUGAAACUUUUAAUA
rnacentral:pre_miRNA from 1 species